UACGUAGGUGGCAAGCGUUGUCCGGAUUUAUUGGGCGUAAAGCGCGCGCAGGUGGUUCUUUAAGUCUGAUGUGAAAGCCCACGGCUCAACCGUGGAAGGUCAUUGGAAACUGGGGAACUUGAGUGCAGAAGAGGAAAGUGGAAUUCCAAGUGUAGCGGUGAAAUGCGUAGAUAUUUGGAGGAACACCGGUGGCGAAGGCGACUUUCUGGUCUGUAACUGACGCUGAGGCGCGAAAGCGUGGGGAGCAAACAGG
rnacentral:rRNA from 1 species